UACGGAGGGUGCAAGCGUUGCUCGGAAUUAUUGGGCGUAAAGCGCGUGUAAGCGGCUUUGCAAGUCGGGUGUGAAAGCCCUCAGCUCAACUGAGGAAGUGCGCCCGAAACUGCAGAGCUUGAGUGCCGGAGAGGGUGGCGGAAUUCCCCAAGUAGAGGUGAAAAUUCGUAGAUAUGGGGAGGAACACCGGUGGCGAAGGCGGCCACCUGGACGGUAACUGACGCUGAGACGCGAAAGCGUGGGGAGCAAACAGG
rnacentral:rRNA from 1 species